GAUGAACGCUGGCGGCGUGCCUAAUACAUGCAAGUCGAGCGAAUGGAUUAAGAGCUUGCUCUUAUGAAGUUAGCGGCGGACGGGUAAGUAACACGUGGGUAACCUGCCCAUAAGACUGGGAUAACUCCGGGAAACCGGGGCUAAUACCGGAUAAAAUUUUGAACCGCAUGGUUCGAAAUUGAAAGGCGGCUUCGGCUGGCACUUAUGGAUGGACCCGCGUCGCAUUAGCUAGUUGGUGAGGUAACGGCUCACCAAGGCAACGAUGCGUAGCCGACCUGAGAGGGUGAUCGGCCACACCGGGACUGAGACACGGCCCAGACUCCUACGGGAGGCAGCAGUAGGGAAUCUUCCGCAAUGGACGAAAGUCUGACGGAGCAACGCCGCGUGAGUGAUGAAGGCUUUCGGGUCGUAAAACUCUGUUGUUAGGGAAGAACAAGUGCUAGUUGAAUAAGCUGGCACCUUGACGGUACCUAACCAGAAAGCCACGGCUAACUACGUGCCAGCCGCCGCAGUAA
rnacentral:rRNA from 1 species